AGUCGAGCGGGCGUACAAUCGUCAGCGGCAGACGGGUGAGUAACGCGUGGGAACAUACCUUUUGGUUCGGAACACACAGGGAAACUUGUGCUAAUACCGGAUAAGCCCUUACGGGGAAAGAUUUAUCGCCGAAAGAUUGGCCCGCGUCUGAUUAGCUAGUUGGUGAGGUAACGGCUCACCAAGGCGACGAUCAGUAGCUGGUCUGAGAGGAUGAUCAGCCACAUUGGGACUGAGACACGGCCCAAACUCCUACGGGAGGCAGCAGUGGGGAAUAUUGGACAAUGGGCGAAAGCCUGAUCCAGCCAUGCCGCGUGAGUGAUGAAGGCCCUAGGGUUGUAAAGCUCUUUUGUGCGGGAAGAUAAUGACGGUACCGCAAGAAUAAGCCCCGGCUAACUUCGUGCCAGCAGCCGCGGUAAUACGAAGGGGGCUAGCGUUGCUCGGAAUCACUGGGCGUAAAGGGUGCGUAGGCGGGUUUUUAAGUCAGGGGUGAAAUCCUGGAGCUCAACUCCAGAACUGCCUUUGAUACUGAAAAUCUUGAGUAUGGGAGAGGUGAGUGGAACUG
rnacentral:rRNA from 1 species